rnacentral:rRNA from 1 species
AGCAGCCGCGGUAAUUCCAGCUCCAAUAGCGUAUAUUAAAGUUGUUGCAGUUAAAAAGCUCGUAGUUGAAUUUCGGGAUUAGUAAGUUGGUCGUGCCUCCGGUAUGUACUGGCUCUACUGGUUCCUCCUUCUUGAAGAACUGUAAUGUCAUUAAUUUGGUGUUGCAGGGAAACAGGACUGUUACUUUGAGAAAAUUAGAGUGUUUAAAGCAGGCUAACGCUUGAAUACAUUAGCAUGGAAUAAUGAAAUAGGACGUUUGAUCCUAUUUUGUUGGUUUCUAGGAUUGACGUAAUGAUUAAUAGGGAUAGUUGGGGGCAUUAGUAUUCAAUUGUCAGAGGUGAAAUUCUUGGAUUUAUUGAAGACUAACUACUGCGAAAGCAUUUGCCAAGGAUGUUUUCAUUAAUCAAGAACGAAAGUUAGGGGAUCGAAGACGAUCAGAUACCGUCGUAGUCUUAACCAUAAACUAUGCCGACUAGGGAUCGGAUGAUGUUAAUUUUUUAAUGACUCAUUCGGCGCCUUA